rnacentral:lncRNA from 1 species
AACUACCAAGAGGCAGCUCUGCCCAGCGUCUUUUCAAAGAUGUAGGCCCUUUGUGCUCUGUGUUUAGUGGGAGGUCACCAGUGGAGCCACGCUGCCUUGGUGCACAUAACACAAGACCCUGUGACUUACAGCUAAAUGAACAGGAGGCCAAGCUUUACCAUCUCUCCUCUAUCCGACAAAUACUAGAAGCCUUCCACCUCCAAGAAUAAACCUUAAGACACAUCGCUGGCAAUUCAGGUAUGUGCUCUGAAAUAUACACUGGUUGGGAUGUGACUCUGAG